UACAUGAAGCUGGAAUCGCUAGUAAUCGCGGAUCAGAAUGCCGCGGUGAAUACGUUCCCGGGUCUUGUACACACCGCCCGUCACACCAUGGGAGUCGGAAAUGCCCGAAGUCUGUGACCUAACCGUAAGGAAGGAGCAGCCGAAGGCAGGUCGGAUGACUGGGGUGAAGUCGUAACAAGGUAGC
rnacentral:rRNA from 1 species